UUUUGUUUUUUUUUUUUUUUUUUUUGGAGAAGCGGUUGAUUUCUGGCUGUUGAUAAAACUUCCAUAACUGAAAAAGUACAAGGAACUGGUAUGUUAAAGUCUUAAGUUCCUAGGUCUACAGUCUGCUGUGCAACUGGAUAUUUCUUUGAGUUUAUUUCAGACCCCAGAAAUAACUGGACCUUUAGGAACCUCAGGCUGAACUUGACGAAUGUCUCAAGAUAGUGUAGAAAUAAAUGGAACAGUUUCAGUAAGAUGCACAGAUAUCUUCUCAAAUUCUUUCCUUUUGAUGGGCACAUGUGCUUGUUAAACUACUGACUUGCCUUAGUUUUAAGAACUUUUGUUUUUCAUUGCUCUUCCCACAAGAUAACAAAUAAGGUUAAUCACAAACAACUAAGUAUUCAUAGAUGUUAUUACUUAACAGGAGGCCUUUGCCUGCAUUCCUUUGGGGGUAAGAAGUUGUACAAUAAUGAAUGCUUUGUUGAUUUGAAUGUAAAAAUAAAUGAAUAAAGUUAUAAUUGUUUCUUCAUCA